rnacentral:rRNA from 1 species
UACAGAGGGUGCAAGCGUUAAUCGGAAUUACUGGGCGUAAAGCGUGCGUAGACGGUUAUGUAAGUCGGGUGUGAAAGCCCCGGGCUCAACCUGGGAAUGCCAUUCGAGACUGCAUAGCUAGGGUGCGGAAGAGGGAAGCGGAAUUUCCGGUGUAGCGGUGAAAUGCGUAGAUAUCGGAAGGAACACCAGUGGCGAAAAGCGGCUUCCUGGUCCAGCACCGACGUCAGGCACGAAAGCGUGGGGGAGCAAACAGG